UACAGAGGGGGCAAGCGUUGUUCGGAAUUACUGGGCGUAAAGGGCGCGUAGGCGGCCUGCUAAGUCGAACGUGAAAUCCCCGGGCUCAACCCGGGAACUGCGUCCGAUACUGGUUGGCUUGAAUCCGGGAGAGGGAUGUGGAAUUCCAGGUGUAGCGGUGAAAUGCGUAGAUAUCUGGAGGAACACCGGUGGCGAAGGCGGCAUCCUGGACCGGUAUUGACGCUGAGGCGCGAAAGCGUGGGGAGCGAACAGG
rnacentral:rRNA from 1 species